rnacentral:tRNA from 1 species
GGAAGAGUGGCCGAGCGGCUUAAGGCACUGGUCUUGAAAACCAGCGAGGGCGCAAGUUCUCCGUGAGUUCGAAUCUCACCGCUUCCGCCA